rnacentral:rRNA from 1 species
ACGGGAGGCAGCAGUGAGGAAUAUUGGUCAAUGGGCGGAAGCCUGAACCAGCCAAGUCGCGUGAAGGAUGAAGGUAUUAUGUAUUGUAAACUUCUUUAGACGCAGGGAAAUAAGCGGGUCGUGACCCGUGAUGCUAGUAUGCGUAGAAUAAGGAUCGGCUAACUCCGUGCCAGCAGCCGCGGUAAUACGGAGGAUCCGAGCGUUAUCCGGAUUUAUUGGGUUUAAAGGGUGCGCAGGCGGCGUGUUAAGUCAGCGGUGAAAGCGUGUAGCUCAACUAUACCAAGCCGUUGAAACUGGCGUCCUUGAGUGUAAACGAGGUAGGCGGAAUGUGAUGUGUAGCGGUGAAAUGCUUAGAUAUGUCACAGAACCCCGAUUGCGAAGGCAGCUUACCAGCAUACGACUGACGCUGAGGCACGAAAGCGUGGGUAUCAAACAGGAUUAGAUACCCUGGUA